GUGGUAUAAGCUAUCACGGUCGAGAGUGGGUAUAUAUAUCGACCGCCCCUCAUGUCAAAGUUAUCCGGGAGGGGGUUAUAUCGACAAUGACGCGACAUACAUAUACAUGGGAAACUAAUGUUAUCGGGGAGGGGGUAUAUCGGUACCCCCCCUCGUGUUGAAGUUCGAUCGGGAGGGGGUAUAUCGACAACGACAUACCCGAUAAAAAAUAAGAAGACAAAAG
rnacentral:lncRNA from 1 species